GCCUUCAUGAAGUCGGAAUUGCUAGUAAUGGCAGGUCAGCAUACUGCCGUGAAUACGUUCCCGGGCCUUGUACACACCGCCCGUCACACCAUGAGAGUUGGAGAUACCCGAAGCCUAUGAGCUAACUUUUAGAGGCAGUAGUCGAAGGUAGAAUCAAUGAUUGGGGUGAAGUCGUAACAAGGUAUC
rnacentral:rRNA from 1 species